UACGUAGGGUGCGAGCGUUAAUCGGAAUUACUGGGCGUAAAGCGUGCGCAGGCGGCUGAGCAAGUCGAGUGUGAAAGCCCCGGGCUUAACUUGGGAAUUGCGCUCGAAACUACUUGGCUUGAGUGUGGCAGAGGAAGGUGGAAUUCCACGUGUAGCGGUGAAAUGCGUAGAGAUGUGGAGGAACACCGAUGGCGAAGGCAGCCUUCUGGGCCAACACUGACGCUCAUGCACGAAAGCGUGGGGAGCAAACAGG
rnacentral:rRNA from 1 species